rnacentral:rRNA from 1 species
GACGAACGCUGGCGGCGUGCUUAACACAUGCAAGUCGAACGGCAAGGCCCUUCGGGGUACACGAGUGGCGAACGGGUGAGUAACACGUGGGUGAUCUGCCCUGCACUUCGGGAUAAGCCUGGGAAACUGGGUCUAAUACCGGAUAGGACCACUGCCUGCAUGGGUGGUGGUGGAAAGCUUUUGCGGUGUGGGAUGGGCCCGCGGCCUAUCAGCUUGUUGGUGGGGUGAUGGCCUACCAAGGCGACCACGGGUAGCCGGCCUGGGAGGGUGGCCGGCGACACGGGGACUGAGAUACGGCCCAGACUCCUACGGGAGGCAGCAGUGGGGAAUAUUGCACAAUGGGCGCAAGCCUGAUGCAGCGACGCCGCGUGAGGGAUGACGGCCUUCGGGUUGUAAACCUCUUUCAGCACCGACGAAGCGCAAGUGACGGUAGGUGCAGAAGAAGGACCGGCCAACUACGUGCCAGCAGCCGCGGUAA